GGUAGCUCAGCCGGAUAGAGCAAUGGCCUUCUAAGCCAUCGGUCGGGGGUUCGAAUCCCUCCC
rnacentral:tRNA from 1 species